GGGGAUGACUGGUUUCGACUUGGACGGUAGUUCGAGGAGAAGCGGGCCGAGGAUCCACGCUUAUCUCGUUAACGACGCGUGGGAACCAAUAAGUGCCAACAACAACCGCACUGACUUCGCUCUCGCUGCCUGAUCAGCGACCGAAGGGUCACGCCCGGGUUUAGCCUUCGACCCGGUGCCUGGCCUCAACUCAGAAGGCUUGCCGAACGGACUGUGUCGCAGGGGCCGUUCGGGACUUCACUGCGGCUGGGCUUGGCUGCAACGCGCUGACGCGAGUGCAGGAGCCGAGUAAAACCGCCAUGUCAGCUGCGCCCGGAGAAGCCCUGGUUCGCCUUUCAAGGACGCGGGUUCAAUUCCCGCCAUCUCCAC
rnacentral:tmRNA from 1 species